AAGUAGAAAAAUUUGGUAAAAUUAGGUAAGGUAAAAAAAUUUGGUCUCCAGAGGGCUAAAAAUGGGAAUGAAUGGUGAAAGACAGGGAUUAAGGAAUAGGCUUGUGCCAGCGCCAGUGUUUUCAUUGGUAUCUUCAUUCACUCUAAAGUUUUUUUAGUGAGGGGGUAUUUUUUUGGUCUGGGUGAAUGAUUUGUGUGUUAGUUUUUUUUAAAGAUGCUUUAAUUGUUGCGUAGAUUGGAAGCCAAUUUAGUCUUAAUAAAGUUUCCUAGAAUAACCUGCAUUGUGUUUUCAGUCAGAAAGAGUGGAAAUAAUAAAGCUUCUAUAGCAAAGUCUUUUUUUGUGAAACAAAUGUGCAGAGUAUUGGGGCAGAAAUUGUUGUCUGCUGCUUUUUUAUAUUUUUAACUUUAAAAAUGUAUUAAAGCAUUUGUAGCCUGCCUUUUCCAGUGCCUAAAAUGAGUUAUGUCUGAACUUUAGGGACUUUCAAAUAGGUAAGUUGUUUAAAAUUGACGUGUUUGUAAAGGUGAAACCAUGGAGCUGCAGACCUGCUAUUCCAGACUGGAGCAGGGAUUUGUUUUCCACUUCUGCUCUUGCCAGUGUUAUUUAUGGGGUUUUUUGCUUACUUAAGGCUUAUGUUUUACUGAGUCAGUGGCUUUUAUGCUUUUCCAAGCUGGAGUCUCUGCAGAAUAGAGUUAGUGUUUGGAUAAAUAAUCUGCAAUAUGAUUGCAACUGUCUUAAACUGUCCCAAGUGCAGGCUGCCAACAGGAAUUGUCCUCUUGCUCUCUCCCUUAGUGGUGUUCCCUUCAGUCCGUCAGAUCUGGGAAUUCAGUCAGCUGGAUCUUGUUUUACUCCAUUUCCAGCUGCAUUGGUUUGCAGGCCUGACGUGAUUGAGUCCUCAUGGCAGCUUUUGGGAUGAAGAAAUUCCAGGUGCUUUUGCCAGGAAUGUGACUUGUUUAUGCAGCAGCACGAAUUUACACUAGAUUAUGGUGUUUUUAAAAGGGGGGGUGGAAUGUAAGAAGAAUUAAAAAUCCCCACUUGAAUUCUCUUUUACAAUUUAUGCUCCACAGUGGGAUGAACUCUAGAAACUUUUUGACUGAAGAAACUAUAAAUUAUGAAAUGCUUCCAGUACUUAAAUACUGGAAUAUGCUUGAGAUGCUGUUGUUGUGCUGCAACGCCGUUGUUUUCCAACUUAGCUUUGUUUUCAUUGAAAUUGUUCUCACUGAACAGGCAUGGAACGGUUAGAAAAAGAUGAGUUAAAGGCCAAAUUAAUGAGUCCUACCUUGUGAAUUAGUUAAUUAUGAUAAAUGAUGGCUUGGUAUGUGGUCAGAAGCUGUUCAAUGUGCAAGUCAAGGUUAAUGUUGAAGAAGGAAAAUGCGGAAGUCGCCAUUUGACAAGUUUUAUAAAUGAGAAUUAUUUGAAGCUCAGGAAUAAGUGAAGCUGAAAUUUGAAAAAAAAGAAAGUGAAUGCAUGCUAAUUAUCAGACCAGAAGUCCCACUUAUAGAAUAUUGAGCAAUUUGUGUGAAGUGGGGAAGAUGAAAGAAGUCAGAAUUUGAAA